rnacentral:lncRNA from 1 species
GAAGUUACGAUCAAAAGAAUUUGAGUGGCACAAUCAUAAAUAUUUCGAAGUUCAGAUUUCUUUUUAACCCAGAUUCUGCUGUUUCUGAUUUUGGGGACGACCAACCAUUUUCAAACUUCGAUUUCUCCUCUGUCCAGUCACCAAAUCGAGUGCCACAACUUGCAAUCUCUUCGUCUCUUUCUCCUCAUUCCAUAAAUAUCCAUAAUUAGCAUCUUCUUGGUCUUUUCCGGCCGUUUCCGGCCACCAUCUCCGGCAAAAGAGGUAUGGUUUCUCAUCUAUUUCUCGAGCUCUAGCUAAUGGUUGGAUAGGAUUGGAUCAAUUUCUAGCGUAGAUAACCCAAAUCACGAAUUGAAAUUUGGCCGGAUUUCGGGAUGAGAUUUCGGCCACUUCUACUCGUUUUUCGGGGUAUGCCGAAGAACAAAAGUGACUCCAAAUAAGGUUUUACAUCUAGGGUAGGAAUCUUGGCCCACAGUUUGAAGUAUUUCCGGCCGUAGGAAUUUGAUCUGCACACCUAAGCAUUGCCGGAGCGUGGCGGCGCAUGGGUACUGUGUUUUGGGGCAACGUUCUGUCCUAAAAUGAUCAUUGUGAUCUCACAAGUGCGUAUGUACUUUCGGAUUCCAAUUUUGUUAAUGUUUGAACUCCGAAGGGAUAUCCUCUAUUGUGCGAUUUCUGGGUUCGAUAAGUUUGAACCAUUGGAUUGCUGUCAAUUUCAUAUAUAUUGAUUAAGCCAAUUCUAGGAUCGUGUAGGAUUUGACGGAUCGUGAAUUGGAGUUCCGGAUACUUCGAAACCACGAACCCCAAGGCAAGAUUAAUUGUUGUCAUCUGAUCGUGAUCAAUCCGACCGUUCAAUUUGGACCAGACUUGCAGGGUAGGUUCAAAAUAGUGUUUAAAUGACCCUGUAAAUGGGCCUUGACCGAGAAUGAGUUAUCUGGGUCAUGUUACGUAUUAAGUAUAGAUAGCUACUUAUAAAUUGCUAGAUUGUGCAUAUAAGUAUAGUUGAGAAUCAAUUUAUUAGAAAAUUGAUAUAAAGGUCGGGUAAUGGAUUGAAAAAUAAAGGGAGAGUAUUGAUAUAAGUUUGGGAGAAUCUCGGUUUUGAGAUGUUCUUAAACUAAAAUAGAGUGAGUUCAAUAUAUGACUUAUUUAUAAUCAGUAUAUGAUUGUUACGAGUAUUGGAAAGUUGCAAAGCAUUGUUUUAGAGUUGUUAAUAUGAUUGAGUACAUCACACACAUGAGAAUUCAGUUUGACUUGCAAAAUACAUGGCAAUAUGAUGAAUGAAUAAGAUAUUCAAUUACAGUAUUAAAGGGAAAGAACUACAUGUGGCUUGAUCCCUCAGUAAGGGUAUGUAGGCAGCCUAAUGUUACAAGGUGCAGCCACAAGUUAGAGUGUUUGAGAUUGCUAAUGUACUGUUGAUGUUUUGAAAGUUGAGAUGAAUUUUAUUAGUAGAAUGAUUUAUUUGAUUUGUUGAGGCCUGAGGCCAGAAUGAUAUGAUGCUUGAUUGCUUUGAUAUAAUUCAAUGCAUGCUGAAUGAUUGGGAUAUAUAAAUGUUUGUUGACAGGUGGAAACUUUUGAGAAACAAGCAAAUUACAGGGGAGACUGCCGAAUUUUCGGCAAAAGUCUAGCUGAUAGAAAAAUUCGUUUCUAGUUAGAAGGACGAUUUGGUCAUUUGUGCUCGGCAUUCUUCAGGUGUCGGACACGCAUAGGGUUCGGCUCGAAUUCCAAAGUGGUCGGGUCCUGUCAUAUAAUCCUGCCUAGCUUUCAACAAGUUGAAUAGAUAUGGAGAAAGGUUCAUUCAAGUCAGCUUUCUUCAUUGUGCUCUUUCUUGUUUCAUAUGAUGGUAAAAUACUUCUCUCAAUAUUUAUUUUUGUUACAAUGAAAGAGAAAUUUAUUCUUGACAUACUAUAAUCAUACGUUAAUCCUAACAACCUAGGCUAACUUGAAGGGUUGACUUCUUUGAAGAAUACAACUGCAUAUAUGAAAUUUUUUUUUUCCUCUGACGUGGUUGAGUUCACUUAUUUUUAAAAUGUGUAUAUGUCGUUCAUACAUUGUGAAAAUUAUAUACUUUAACCUAACAAUUGUCGAUAUUUUCAGCCAUAAAGUUGAGUUUAAGUGUAUAUUUUCGUAACAUAAACUCAUGCAUAAAGCAGUAUGUUCACAAUAAAGGCAAAAAACAAUUUUAUUAUGAAUUAUGGAAAUAUUAAUUGUGGUAGGUGUGCAAUUUGGAGCCGAAGCAAGAGGUCCAGUUGUUCGUUAUCCGUGCCAAACAUCUACUCCAUGCGGCCCAUGCACAUGCGUUGAGAAUUGGUGUAAGUGUCCACCAGAUAAAAUAUCGAAGUUCAUUCUUCAAGACAUCUCUACACACCCGCAAGCACAGAAGGAAAUGCCAUAAUCAGCGCUACUUGAUACAUUAAUAUAUAUCAUUGCUCGAAUGACUGUCUAAAUGAGGCUUGACUGUUUGUG